rnacentral:lncRNA from 1 species
AAUACUUACAGGGUAAAAUAUCAAUGUAAAAAUUACUAUAGCACAAACUGAGUGGUGAAAGGAGUACUUAAAGAAAUCAUUGCAUGUGGGGAUGGUUGGGGAAAUUUUCUAAAAAAGAUAUGUUUUUUACCUUGUUUUUGGUUUUUGCAGGAAGAAACUAUAAAGUUCAUGGUACUCAAGGGGGUCUCUGACCAAAAAAGGAUUAAGAAGAAUUGAGGCAAAAGGUGUUUACAAGCAUGCUUUCCUUAUUUCAACAUAGAAAGAAAGACGUACAACCCUGUGGUGAUCAUCGUUCACUUCUUCUCAGUAAAUCUUGCUGCUGCUGACUUUUGGGGUCCGUGCUGCGUAUGAGAGCUGUAACACUCACUGCGAAGGUCUGCAGCUUCACUCGUGAAGUCAGUGAGACCACAAACCCACCAGAAGGAAGAAACUCCGGGCACGUCCAACUGCGGACACACCAUCUUUAAGAACUGUAACACUCGCCGCGAGGGUCUGUGGCUUCAUUCUUGAAGUCAGCGAGACCAAGAACCCAGCAAUUCCAGACACGUAACUAUAUUGUAGCUGCUGGCUCCCAUAUUUGAGAACUGAAGUUUCCACCUCAUUUACCCGUCCACUCUCAAGGCUUUUUCAACCUUGGGCACUCUUCCUGGCAUAAGCAAAGACUGCCGCUAGAAACCACUACAUUUGUAAGAAACAUAAGGCUUCGAGAAGGCCAUACAACUGUACAUGUUUGAAAUUCCUUGUCCAGGAUGUGGUGACAUAAUACACUGAAUCCAUUCAAGAGUCAAUGGUGAUCUCAGUGAUGCUUGUGGUUGGAAUAUUUUUUGUAAUGAAAAUAGUUAGAAUCUGUUGAUUAAGUACCUGUUAAGGUGUGCCUUUAAAUUAAGAAUUAGGAAUGCUGCAUGCAUAAUAUUAUAUUUCUUCAAAUCAGAAAUAAAAUAUCCCAUAUGUAGAACUUGUCUAUAUGAAAAAAAAAUCAGGAAUCACUUAUUAAAAUAUUUCAUGUGGUUUCCAGAGUGGUCCACAAGAUUGCCUCUUGGGAGGGUUCUA